CUGCUGCCUCCCGUAGGAGUCUGGGCCGUGUCUCAGUCCCAGUGUGGCCGGCCACCCUCUCAGGCCGGCUACCCAUCGUCGCCUUGGUAGGCCAUUACCCUACCAACUAGCUAAUGGGACGCGAGUCCAUCUUUCAGCGUCAGGUCUCCCCAACUUUUCCUAUAUAAACGUGCACUUAUAUAACUCAUCCGGCAUUAGCUCACCUUUCGGUAAGUUGUUCCAGUCCAAAGGCAGGUCACUCACGUGUUACUCA
rnacentral:rRNA from 1 species